rnacentral:lncRNA from 1 species
CACGCCGAGUUCACGAUGAUAGGCCGCAAGCCAAAUAUGCCCGGAAUCCUCCAUAUGGAGAAGAUGUAAAAUGGUUGCUUCGAAUAUCCAAGAAUUUGAGCACUCAUCAUCUUCACCACUUCUGUGUGUGUGCAUUGAAUUCGAUUGUAAGUCCUUUUGUGCUGCAUGAUGUUGCCAUCGAGGCCGCUCAACAUUUGUCUCGGAAUAAUCCGGGAUUAGUGAUGCAACAUUUACGCACUGCCUUAUUGCCGUUGGUUAGCAAGUGUCAACAAAUGUAUAUACAGUGCAUGCACCAAAAGCUAUACCACUUAACAACUACAGACUAUGAAGAUUUCAUCAGCAUUGUUCUUGCGGCAAGAGCGGCCUUCCACAUCACUCCGGAAGGGAACGUACAGUUUAAGGAAUGGUUAACUUCGAUAAGGAGAUCAAAAUCAUGCAAAAAGGAUCUCUGGCAACAAAUCAACCAAGCACUUCAAGCGAACUCUAAAUGACAAAGGCCUGAUAUCGUGUCGCAAACUAGUUGUACGUUUCGCCGGCUGUCUCUUACCGACUCCGAAAAUCUAGAUUCUAACAUGCCCUCAACUCCCACUCUUCGUCCAGUUGUUCUAAUUGCGUAUUCAGAUCUUGAACAUUCUCUCGGAGACAACAAUUUGCACUCAAUGCUGCCAGACAGUGGCCAAAUGAUCUCAGUACCGAGCAGUCCAAAUGUGUUUCAACAUGUGGUUGAAAGUAACGAGCCGACGCCUACCGUUAUGGUUCCGGUCACUUUUGAGAACUCUCUGCCUCCCCCAGCAGUGCGGAUAUCUUUACCGGCCUUAAAUAUGCCGAGUAGAUUUUUGCCGGACAUCGAUCAUUCAACUGGUGGAUACAAUCUUCCAUGCCUGUUGACUCCUCAGGGGCAUCCUUUGGCAAUUAGACACGAAGGCGGAUACAUUUUAGCUCCUCACGUUUUAACUGAAGAAGCUGGCGCUGUAGUUAAUGCAACCAAUUCUCAUCAAAUUCUACAGGAUUUACCUGUCACUGAUUACAUCUAGACUGCACCCGGUGCAGGUGCCUUUAUCUACGGAUGAUUUGGGCAUUUACAGAUUACCAAACCUAUCCAAUGAAACUGUUAGACUGGGAGCUGGAAGGAAGCCAAACAAUGGCGAAGAACAACCCGAAAUUGACCCGAGACUUCCCUCGAAGCUCGUACGACUGGAAGGACCAAGCGAAACCGUUUUCAGAAACAAUGCCUUUCGAUCAAAAAGAGAUGGUAAGAACGGAUUCUCCGACCGUUGAUUCAAAUGAAUCGAGCGGUAUCUUCAAAAAAAGCAAUAUUUGCCAUAAGAUUUCAAUAGUGCUUAUUUGCGUACGUACUCUCUUUAACCGCUAGUAAGUUAGGUAAGUCUCGACCUCACUAAUUACAUAACAAAGCGGGUAUGGCGAUGUUUCAACUCGUAAUGGAACUUUAGAUAGAUAUUUAAAUGUAAUUGUGUCCAUGAGAAGUAUGCGUAGGAAAUAAGUAGUUCAAUUUUAUUUGGAUUGCACUCAAACGAGCAUAAGGCCACUGAAAUAGGUUUGAAGAUGGUAUUUCACUUCUUUUUAUUUUAUUUUAUGCGACAACAAACAUAUCAGAGCGAUUGAUUCAAGUAAAUAAAUAUACAUUUUAUUUGGACGGCUUCUGUGGCAUAUUGGGACAAUGGUUAUUUGGUUUACGGAUCGUGCGAUUUCCGUAUUAUAAAAUUUCUCGUUUUUUAAGUAUAAGUGGACCAAAAGAAUGGCAACGGUUGGCCAAUUGGCCUAAAAAAAUGCACUUAGGAUUGUGUUUAUUGAAUCGAAUAUGGAAAAAUCUAGUGUUUUUGUGUUUUCCUCAUUGAAAUGAGUUUCUACAGCACCCAAGAAAAAACGACUGUCGAUAUUGGAUAUGUAGGUUCUAUUGGUUCACCGUGCGCAUUUAGGAGUAAGGUUUAACGGAGAAUUUCUAAUUACGCAGUUUUAGUUAAAGAAUCAGAUACUAUCUUCAAACAGAGUGUUCCAGGUUUAUACAUAGCAUAGCUUUUUAAGUUACUUAAGUAACU